AAUGUUGUAGUAAUCGCUGCAUACGUUCAGUGUGUAGAGGAAAGUCCAUGCUCACACAAGCUGCGAUGCUUGUAGUGUUCGUGCUUGACGAAUGCAUAAGUCAAGGUAACCAAUAUGGUUAACGGCAGAGAAAAUACCUGUGUCUGUUAUCAGAUAUGGUAUGAGUAUCUUGAAAGUGCCACAGUGACGUAGCUAAGUGGGAAACUACUUAGGUGGAACGCGGUAAACCCCUCGAGUGAGCAACCCAAAUUUUGGUAGGGGCAUCUUCUUAGUAGGGAAUUGGAACCGAAGGAAGGACAAGCUUAGUUGCUUGUAGACAGAUGAUUACACCUUAUGUACGAGGCUGACCACCGUUUGGAGUACGAAGGAACAGAACAUGGCUUACAGAC
rnacentral:RNase_P_RNA from 1 species